GGAACAAUGACAGCAGCAAACAUCAAAACAAAGUUGCAACUCAGUGUUUGCAAGACUGAAGCAAGAAGAAUCGAGGCAAAGCAAAGCAAAAAUUUGGUCAAAAAUCAAAAUACUCAGCAAUGUUGUGUCUGAACCUCAAACAUUUUUCAUUCAACUUGAAAUAUAUAAAAGAGUUACAAUUGUACAUUGACAGUUACCUAAUGUA
rnacentral:lncRNA from 1 species